GUCUUGGUGGCUCAGCGGUAGAGCGUUGGUCUCAUAUUCUUCUAUGAUAUAUGAAGCACUCUCAGAGUGAGCUAUCCAAAGGUCGUGAGUUCGAGACUCACCCAGGACA